rnacentral:rRNA from 1 species
UCCUCCCUCUUUCCUCGUGCCUAAUACAUGCAAGUCGAACGCUUCUUUCCUCCCGAGUGCUUGCACUCAAUUGGAAAGAGGAGUGGCGGACGGGUGAGUAACACUUGGGUAACCUACCCAUCAGAGGGGGAUAACACUUGGAAACAGGUGCUAAUACCGCAUAACAGUUUAUGCCGCAUGGCAUAAGAGUGAAAGGCGCUUUCGGGUGUCGCUGAUGGAUGGACCCGCGGUGCAUUAGCUAGUUGGUGAGGUCACGGCUCACCAAGGCCACGAUGCAUAGCCGACCUGAGAGGGUGAUCGGCCACACUGGGACUGAGACACGGCCCAGACUCCUACGGGAGGCAGCAGUAGGGAAUCUUCGGCAAUGGACGAAAGUCUGACCGAGCAACGCCGCGUGAGUGAAGAAGGUUUUCGGAUCGUAAAACUCUGUUGUUAGAGAAGAACAAGGACGUUAGUAACUGAACGUCCCCUGACGGUAUCUAACCAGAAAGCCACGGCUAACUACGUG